UUUCAGUGUGGACACGUGACAUGUUGUAGAAAGUUGACUAAUCUUCUUCACGCUCCCUCUCUGGUUUCUCCACAGGACUGUGGGCUGAACACACAACAGUAGGUCCAGAAGAAUUCAGGUUGGUAGGAACAGACAGUCGCUGUACUGGUGGACUGCAGAGGAGGAUCCAGGGAUCUGAGUGGAGUGAAGUAUGGGACAUAGACAUGAAGAUUCUAGCCAAUGUUUGCAGAAGACUGGAUUGUGGUUCUCUGGUGUCAGUCAGAGAAACAAGAGACAAUUUGAACAUAACUUGUUCAGACUCUGUCAGGCUGGAGAACAGAUCCAGUCGGUGUUCAGGCAGGCUGGAGGUGAAGUCCAACAACUGGUGGUCCUCCGUGUGUGAAGAUGACUUUGACCUGCUGGAUACAGAGGUGGUCUGU